UACGUAGGAGGCAAGCGUUGUCCGGAAUUACCGGGCGUAAAGCGCGUGUAGGUGGUGGGACAAGUCUGCUGUGAAAGCGCCUGGCUUAACCGGGCGAGGUCGGCGGAAACUGUUCGACUCGAGGACGGUAGAGGGGGGUGGAAUUCCCGGUGUAGUGGUGAAAUGCGUAGAUAUUGGGAGGAACACCAGUGGCGAAAGCGACUUUCUGGGGCAUUCCUGACGCUGAGGUUCGAAAGCUCGGGGGAGCAAACAGG
rnacentral:rRNA from 1 species